UCUUGGUCAUUAGAGGAAGUAAAAGUCGUAACAAGGUCUCCGUUGGUGAACCAGCGGAGGGAUCAUUACUGAGUUUACGCUCUACAACCCUUUGUGAACAUACCUAUAACUGUUGCUUCGGCGGGUAGGGUCUCCGUGACCCUCCCGGCCUCCCGCCCCCGGGCGGGUCGGCGCCCGCCGGAGGAUAACCAAACUCUGAUUUAACGACGUUUCUUCUGAGUGGUACAAGCAAAUAAUCAAAACUUUUAACAACGGAUCUCUUGGUUCUGGCAUCGAUGAAGAACGCAGCGAAAUGCGAUAAGUAAUGUGAAUUGCAGAAUUCAGUGAAUCAUCGAAUCUUUGAACGCACAUUGCGCCCGCCAGCAUUCUGGCGGGCAUGCCUGUUCGAGCGUCAUUUCAACCCUCAAGCUCUGCUUGGUGUUGGGGCCCUACGGCUGACGUAGGCCCUCAAAGGUAGUGGCGGACCCUCCCGGAGCCUCCUUUGCGUAGUAACUUUACGUCUCGCACUGGGAUCCGGAGGGACUCUUGCCGUAAAACCCCCAAUUUUCCAAAGGUUGACCUCGGAUCAGGUAGGAAUACCCGCUGAACUUAAGCAUAUCAAUAAGGCGGAGGAA
rnacentral:rRNA from 1 species